CGCGCACUGGGCCGGCGACCAGCUCGCCCUGGCCGAGCUGGACUCCUCCCGGGAGCGCCUGGCUCGGGCCGAGGUACGCGC
rnacentral:tRNA from 1 species